CAGUAGCCGCGGGAAUACGGAGGGUGCAAGCGUUAAUCGGAAUUACUGGGCGUAAAGCGCACGCAGGCGGUUUGUUAAGUCAGAUGUGAAAUCCCCGAGCUUAACUUGGGAACUGCAUUUGAAACUGGCAAGCUAGAGUCUUGUAGAGGGGGGUAGAAUUCCAGGUGUAGCGGUGAAAUGCGUAGAGAUCUGGAGGAAUACCGGUGGCGAAGGCGGCCCCCUGGACAAAGACUGACGCUCAGGUGCGAAAGCGUGGGGAGCGAACAGGAUUAGAUACCCCAGUAGUCCCUGUCUCUUAUAC
rnacentral:rRNA from 1 species